UCCUUCAACAAUUUAUUCCAAUAUCUAUGAGAGUUGGGUAUUGAUAUUUUUGUAAAAAAGUCAUUUUAUUUCACUCAGGUUUGAUCUCAGCCGUUCAUUCAUAUCAAUUUCAUUCCUUCUUUCAUUCAAUGGAUUUAUUAAAUUAGUGAAACGCUUUUCAGUUUCAAAACUGUAAACAGACGCUUCCUCUUUCACCUUACCUUCUUCCUUUUCUCCUUCUCUCAGCCGUUUCUAGGUUUCAAGUCGUUUAAAACCUUCUCUCGACACACUGCUUUUCCGUGUCUGCCUCUGAUUUCAGCACCUCCUCGACACCCUCCCUCGCCCUUCCACCGCCGUCUGGAAAACCUUCAUCAUGGGCUUCAUCUGCGACCAGAUUGCUGAGGUUUGGCAAUCAGGUUUGAACGAUGAUGUGUUCUGCUCUUUGUCAAUUCAUUUUCAUUUUUCCGUUCAGAACCUAUUUGAUUAGGUCUUCAAGGGAUUCCUUCCGAUGAGAACGACGAUCUGCACCCAAAAGUUAUGAAUUGUCGUUCUGCUUACCCAUAGAGAGAGGGAGAGUGGGCGAUAGAGCGACGGUGGCAACAGUCCACCAAGACUCUGCUCUCACCGAAGGAAGCCGUGGUUUGCUUGAUUUGGCUUUUAUUUUCAUAUUUAAGAUUAGUAUGACCCAAUUGGCAACCAGCAAGAAGAAUUAAGAAGAAGCACCUAACUUUGUGUAACCAUGCUUCACCUAUACCUCAGUGGUGAUUAUCAAGCCUCUGCCAUGUACUUUUGUUGAAUGUUGAUACAUAAACUACUUCUAAAAGUUCCAAAGUGGGUAUGGUCCCUCAAUUGAAAGUUGAAAGUGCAUCUCCUACAACGGGCUGUUCAGUGCACAUUGUAUAGUUCCUUGGCAUGCAGUGAUGAAUUGCAAGGAAUGCCUCAAGUCUGAAAGGAAAGGUGAAAAAGAUUCAAAUAGAAGUGGUUGUUCUUGCUUCCUCCAUUUUCUCUUUACAGGUUGGAUGCAACUUCUGCUACAACAGUGGGAAGGAUUGAAGGCAUGGACAUAUAUGUGACAAACCUUAGUCCACAUUAGACUUCACAUGUAUCAUUGGAAGUCCUACCAUUCAAAAUUAGAUUUUAUUUUGAAUUACUCAAUUGCAUUGGGGGUGAUGAGAUUUGAAGUUUUCUUUUGGCAAAAGAGUGAUAAGGGGAAAGCUCGCAAUGGAUAUAGCCAUGAAGGGGAUAUAUAUAUAUAUAGAGAGAGAGAGACACACAAAGUAAUUAUGUUCUGUGAAUUCUGCAAAAUGCUGAAUUUUGUAGAAGGAAUUUGCUUUUGGUCUAGGGUAAUGUUCAUGAACUUCAUCUGACACUAAAGUUAGUGUUUGGAUCUUCCAUACAUUGAUGUUUUUUUUUUUGAUAUAUUUUUUGGGUUUGUUGUCAUUUUGGUUCAGUAUUUUUAAGAUGACAUUGACAUUGGGCAUACUGUUUUUUUGUUCCAUAAUGAACUCUUUGACUUUUGGUGGUUGUCUUUUGUGCUUCUAAUAGUUAUUUUUUAA